rnacentral:rRNA from 1 species
UUGCUCCUACGGGGGGCAGCAGUGGGGAAUAUUGCGCAAUGGGCGAAAGCCUGACGCAGCGACGCCGCGUGAGGGAUGAAGGUCUUCGGAUCGUAAACCUCUGUCAGCAGGGAAGAACGGUCACUGUGCUAAUCAGCAGUGAAUUGACGGUACCUGCAAAGGAAGCACCGGCUAACUCCGUGCCAGCAGCCGCGGUAAUACGUAGGGGGCAAGCGUUAUCCGGAUUUACUGGGUGUAAAGGGAGCGUAGACGGAAAGGCAAGUCAGAAGUGAAAACCCAAGGCUCAACCAUGGGACUGCUUUUGA